rnacentral:rRNA from 1 species
CAGAGAUUAGCUUGCUUUAUUUGUCAGCUAAGUGGCGCACGGGUGAGUAAUGUAUAGAUAACCUGCCCUCUAGAAAGGAAUAACAGUUGGAAACGACUGCUAAUGCCCUAUAUGCCUUUAAUACAUAAGUAUGCAAGGGAAACGCUUUAGUGCUAGAGGAUGGGUCUGUAUGGUAUCAGCUAGUUGGUGAGGUAAUGGCUCACCAAGGCUAUGACGCCUAACUGGUUUGAGAGGAUGAUCAGUCACACUGGAACUGAGACACGGUCCAGACUCCUACGGGAGGCAGCAGUGGGGAAUAUUGCACAAUGGACGAAAGUCUGAUGCAGCAACGCCGCGUGGAGGAUGACACAUUUCGGUGCGUAAACUCCUUUUAUAUAGGAAGAUAAUGACGGUACUAUAUGAAUAAGCACCGGCUAACUCCGUGCCAGCAGCCGCGGUAAUACGGAGGGUGCAAGCGUUACUCGGAAUCACUGGGCGUAAAGAGCGUGUAGGCGGGUAUAUAAGUCAGAAGUGAAAUCCUAUAGCUUAACUAUAGAACUGCUUUUGAAACUGUAUACCUAGAAUGUGGGAGAGGUAGAUGGAAUUUCUGGUGUAGG